ACCCUGGAGAACCCUGACUAAUGCAUCUCUCUUUUACAAAUGACGAAACAAGUCCCAGAGAUAGAUAUUAAUUAGCUGUAGAACACGCAGCUAGUUAGUGGCAGGGUAGAGUGUGGGCUGCUGGUCCUUGAAGGGCCACCCUCCUCCUAGUCGCACAGAGGGCCGGCAUUCCUCCCUGCCUGUGGCCCACAGCCACAUGAGGGGCACAUGAGGAGUUGCUUGUGUUUAAUCCUGUCAUCGGUUUAUUGGAAAGCUUUUCGCUGCAGCCUGCAUGAGGGAAAACGAUUUGCUUGGGAUGAAUGUGGCCACCAAUGUGCUAUUUCCCUUAAUCUAAACAGGGCCUCAGGCACACUUCAUUGAUCAUGCCUCUAAGCUGAGAGGUCGCCUUCAGGCUGGCCAGCAAAUAUUAUGUUUCUCAGGCAGCCCUAUGCUGUCAACCACAUUUCCUGAUCUACUCUGAUUAGAUAUAUAAACAGCUUCAGUAAAACAGAGCCCGAGCUUUGCUGUUAAAAAUGUAAGAUAAGGCUUCCAUAAAGAUUCAUCAACAGCAGAGACGCUGUCUAAGUUGGGUCUGAGCCCUCAGAGCUCACGGCUUCUUUUUUCGGUGUUGUAAGGAAGGUCAGUGGGCAAAUGCCUAUGAUUUAUCAUCAUGUUUUAAUAGUGCUUGUGCUUUGGUUAAGGGACACCUUGGGGAGAAGAAAGGGUUAAAAUAUUUGAGCAGGGUCACAAAGUGGUCUUGCAUUAAGAACCCAGCACGGAACUGACAUUACUAAAAGUUACUUAGUCAUUUUGUACCUGCUAAGAGGUAUCGCCCGGUCCCAGCUAAGAACCGGGAAGAAGCGGGCUGAUACCUGCACGUUGCAGAAAGUUUAUGAAGACCGAACACUCCCUUGAAACUCCGCUGGGGAAAUGAAACAACUAAAACCAAACAUCUUCUGCCUUCAACCAUCAUGACUGUUUCCGAUACAUUUUGUAAGAUACUCAAGUACAACGCAGGAGAAGUUUGUGAGAUUUGAAUAUAGAGACGUGUGUUUAAUCCGUGCAUAUUGCAAUAUCCUCUUCCACUGUUUGUCCCCAGGAUAGAUGAGGUGAUCUAAAGGAUUUUUCCACCUCCAGUUCCUUGGAAUGAGAACAUAUGCCUUUUCCAGAUGAUUUUCAGUAUUUAUUUUUCAGAAAGAAAGGGAUCGAUACCAGUUUUAAAGAAGACAAAGCAAGGUACUCAGAUACUAAAGCUAAAAUGAUACUGGCUGCACGGAAGGGUACAUUUGAGGCACUUUGGCCAUCUCUCUGAAACGACUAGAAAAAAUGAGGAUAGAUGCAGUGCUGACUAAUUUGCCUAUUUUCAGAUGUGAUGCUGAGUUACAGAAAUGCAAAGUAAGGAGGUAGUUUAAGAAUUAGCAAAAGUCUCUUAAUGAGAAAUUGAUCUAGCAUCAAGGGGGGCAUCCAUGUGGGUAGCUAGAACAUAUUUUAAGAGUGUCUUAAAAUCUUAGAACUACAUCUAUGAAUGAGUCCAUGCACUGUCACAGGAGAUAAAUACACCAGAUCUUCUGGGAAUUCUAGAGAACAGUUAAGUGGUGGCCCUUCUCAGUGGCUGUUUCAACUCUUGCAGGGUGUUAUAGACUUGAGAUUCUAGAGUCCUCAAUAUUGUUCCUCCAAUCCCAUGUCUGUCCACCUCGGGCUGUGGACAUUUGGGGAAUAAGCCUUUGUCGUGGGAGCUGUCCCGUACAUUGUAGAACAUUUAGUAUCAUACUCAUUAGAUGCAAGUAGCAUUCCCUGCAAGUAGCAUUUUGGAUAACCAAAAUGUCCUUAUCCCUCAUUCUUCAAACUAAAUGAAAACCACAUGCAUUUUGCAUUUAAAUUGCCAUUAGGAAAUGGGCCAGAUGUUCAAUAGGAAAAGAAAAUGCACUAAAGAAGAAAAAUACAGGCUUCUUCUGUUCACAGGUGGCCUGGAGGUCAUCCCAGCUCUGCCUGUUUCGGCUUCCCCUCCUGUAAACGGUUGACUUUCCUGGGCAUUAUGUUCUGGCUUCUUACAUUUCUUUUAAUGUCUUUAUUCUGUAUCCCAUAGUGAUGAGACAUG